GACGAACGCUGGCGGCGUGCCUAAUACAUGCAAGUAGAACGCUGAAGGAGGAGCUUGCUUCUCUGGAUGAGUUGCGAACGGGUGAGUAACGCGUAGGUAACCUGCCUGGUAGCGGGGGAUAACUAUUGGAAACGAUAGCUAAUACCGCAUAAGAGUAGAUGUUGCAUGACAUUUGCUUAAAAGGUGCAAUUGCAUCACUACCAGAUGGACCUGCGUUGUAUUAGCUAGUUGGUGGGGUAACGGCUUACCAAGGCGACGAUACAUAGCCGACCUGAGAGGGGGAUCGGCCACACUGGGACUGAGACACGGCCCAGACUCCUACGGGAGGCAGCAGUAGGGAAUCUUCGGCAAUGGACGGAAGUCUGACCGAGCAACGCCGCGUGAGUGAAGAAGGUUUUCGGAUCGUAAAGCUCUGUUGUAAGAGAAGAACGAGUGUGAGAGUGGAAAGUUCACACUGUGGCGGUAUCUUACCAGAAAGGGACGGCUAACUACGUG
rnacentral:rRNA from 1 species